UCCUCGUUAGUAUAGUGGCCAGUAUCCCCGCCUGUCACGCGCGGGUGACCGGUUCGAUUCCCAGGCAGGGAG
rnacentral:tRNA from 1 species